UGUGCAAAGCCUGCCAGGCUCGCGUCAGCCCCUCUCCCCUAUUUUGCGCCGCCUCCACUUCCUGGGCCGGGUCUGCCUGCGGACCGGCAUCAAAGAUGUAGGGAAAGGGGCUUUGAUGUCCUGCGGCAGCUUCGCGCCGCUUGGGGCGUCGCCGUGUGUGUGGACGGCCAGCGGAGCCGGAGAGGAGGGACGGGACCCCUACGGCCCCCACGGCGGGCCGCACAGGCCGCAGGGACCCAAGGACGGGAGCUCCCUCAGGACAAAACCCACGCAGGGAACAGGAAGGGCGAUGUGCGAAGGGCUGAGCUAUUCAGUCACUGCGUAACUGCCAGAAAAAUCCCAGCUUUUCUCUUUCAAGAAAAAGAAAAGAUUGUGGCCAACCAGUUCAAAAGGUGAGGGUCUGAGCAUGGGGUACAAUUUGUAUGGGUCACUCCCAGGAGCAGCCUACAUCACUGAUGCUGUGCUUCCAUCCUUGGCACCUCCAGCCAUGAAGGAGUUUGGCAGAAGUGGAUUCCCACCCUCGGGGAUGACUUUGGGGUUUGGGACGUCCGUGGAGGCAGUCACGGUGGAUGUGGUGGA